rnacentral:rRNA from 1 species
UUCCUACGGGAGGCAGCAGUAGGGAAUCUUCCACAAUGGACGAAAGUCUGAUGGAGCAACGCCGCGUGAGUGAAGAAGGGUUUCGGCUCGGAAAGCUCUGUUGGUAGGGAAGAAAGAUAGAGGUAGUAACUGGCCUUUAUUUGACGGUAAUUACUUAGAAAGUCACGGCUAAAUAAGUGCCAGCAGCCGCGGGAAUACGGAGGUGGCAAGCGUUGUCCGGAGUUAUUGGGGGUAAA